rnacentral:rRNA from 2 species
GAUGAACGCUAGCGGCAGGCUUAACACAUGCAAGUCGAGGGGCAACACGGGUAGCAAUACCUGGUGGCGACCGGCGCAAGGGUGCGUAACGCGUGAGCAACAUACCCUAUACAGGGGGAUAAUCCAGGGAAACUUGGUCUAAUAUCCCAUAGGAUUUACAGAUGUCAUCAUCUAUAAAUUAAAGCUUCGGUGGUAUAGGAUUGGCUCGCGUGACAUUAGCUAGAUGGUGGGGUAACGGCCUACCAUGGCCAUGAUGUCUAGGGGUUCUGAGAGGAAGACCCCCCACACUGGGACUGAGACACGGCCCAGACUCCUACGGGAGGCAGCAGUGAGGAAUAUUGGACAAUGGAUGGAAAUCUGAUCCAGCCAUGCCGCGUGCAGGAAGACGGCCCUAUGGGUUGUAAACUGCUUUUAUAUGGGAGCAAUAAGGUCUACGCGUAGACCGAUGAGAGUACCAUAUGAAUAAGCAUCGGCUAACUCCGUG